rnacentral:rRNA from 1 species
AUCUUUGAACGCACCUUGCACCUUUUUUGGAUUUCC